UACGUAGGGCGCGAGCGUUGUCCGGAAUUAUUGGGCGUAAAGAGCUCGUAGGCGGCCUGUUGCGUCCGCUGUGAAAUCCCAGGGCUCAACCCUGGGCGUGCAGUGGAUACGGGCAGGCUGGAGGCAGGCAGGGGAGAACGGAAUUCCCGGUGUAGCGGUGAAAUGCGCAGAUAUCGGGAGGAACACCGGUGGCGAAGGCGGCAUCCUGGACCAACACUGACACUGAGGAGCGAAAGCCAGGGGAGCAAACGGG
rnacentral:rRNA from 1 species